GAACUCUGUCACUAAUUAAAUACAAAUUUUUCACUAAUUCAAAAUACACAAAUUAUAUAUUAACACAUGGUUGGCAUGAUUCUUUUAAUAUUCUUGGUUCUUAUUGAGAGUAACCUCUGCGAGAAAUAUGAAACCAUAACGGAGGGAGUGUUUAAUGACCACAAUGAACAUCGGAGGGCUUGGAUAGUGCCGGAAUUUUACUUGAAUGACGAACUAAACCAGGAUUCUAUCGAUUAUGCAGAACAUUUGGCUUCCUUGAAUAUUCCAGAUCAAAAGUUAUAUGAAGAUGUCGACUUGGAAAAAAAAACGGGUUUUGUGGACCAUCUGGAUUAUCCUCAUUCCGAAGAAGCAAAUCUGAACUAUACGGAAAACAUCUGCGAAUUCAUAAAAAAUAAUUGCGUCGCUCACUGGUCUGUUGAUGGGGCAAAGUGUUUUGGAAUACCGAAAAAACAGAGAAUCAAAGUCGAACAAUCUUUGGCCGAUAAAUUUUCAGCCAUCACGUGGAGGUCUUCUACAAACAUCGGUAUUGGUUGGGCAUUGAAAAAUCGAAAAAAGCCAGAAGGUAGAAAGAUAUUGGUUGUGAGAUAUUCUCCACCUGGCAAUCAACCUGGAGAGUACGAAAGCAAUAUAGAAAACACGGAAUUUAUUGAGUAUUAUAACAUGCCUUUCAUGACCGAACCCGAUGUCCGCGCUUCUCCCAAUUCUUCGCGACGAACUCGCGAUAAUAUUUUCGGAAAAAAAAUGUUUACAACCUCAUUUGUUCUAAUAAUGUUCUUAAGUUUGAAUAUGCAAUCAAGGCCCGCUUUCUCAUCAAAAAUCUAAAUAAUUUCUAUAAAAAUAAAAAAUAUUUUUAAAAAAGUCCCAAUAAAUUCCUUGAUAGCUGCUACUUAAAUAUUAUGAAAAAGGAAUGCUAUCAAAAACCUUCCGCAAACACUAAGCUAAUGGUUUCCUGUCAUAAUUCUCAUAAUUUCACUUGCAAUUUCAUUCAAAGCGUUGACUCCAAACAGCUUCGAGCAGCAACCUGGCCAAACUCCC